UACGUAGGGUGCAAGCGUUGUCCGGAAUUAUUGGGCGUAAAGAGCUCGUAGGCGGUCUGUCGCGUCGGCUGUGAAAACCCGCGGCUCAACCUCGGGCCUGCAGUCGAUACGGGCAGACUAGAGUGCGGUAGGGGAGACUGGAAUUCCUGGUGUAGCGGUGAAACGCGCAGAUAUCAGGAGGAACACCGGUGGCGAAGGCGGGUCUCUGGGCCGUAACUGACGCUGAGGAGCGAAAGCAUGGGGAGCGAACAGG
rnacentral:rRNA from 1 species